rnacentral:lncRNA from 1 species
GUUAAUUCUCUUUUCUAGUGGGGAGUGGGAACCUACUGCAAUCCGAGGGUCUUGAGUACUUUUAGCCCAUGCCAAU